CCUAAAAAAUUAUUUAUAUUUGUAUAAUUUGUAAAAAUUACAAAUUAUAGAUACAAAAUAAAUACAAAAUAAAAAAUGAUUUUUUCAAUUUAUGUAAAAUAUUUAUUUUUUAUUGUAAUAAUAAUAAUAAAAUAAAAUUGUUUCCUUUAUUUCCAUUCUCGAAAUAAAAAAAUUAUUUUUUUUGAAAUGUAACUAAAGUAUUUUUAAAAAAUAUAUAAAAUUUAUAUCUUUAUAGUGAUAAUAUACAUAUGUCAAAUUUAAUUAGGUUAGGUAUAUGUGUCAUUAACGAAUGAGCUUAUUAAAUAAAAUAUUUUAAAGAAACAUUGAUCAAGUUUAAUUGAUUGUAUACUUUAUUUUACCAUAAUAUUUAGAUCGGAAACAGAAUCAAUAAGUAUUUGAAUCAAAAUUAAAAAUGUGGCUGAACAUAAACUUACGAAAAAAAUAUCAGGAUCUGGAGUUAAUUCUAAAAUUUCAUUCGAUGAAAGUGGUUCCUCUUGGGACCAAAUAAUUGAUCCUUCAAAUUCAUCGAGAUCAUCUUCAUGUUCGCUCAACGUACUAAUUGACUCCGUUUUUCCACAGUUCAUAUUAGAUAUUUACCAAUUCUUUAUCUAGAAAGUUAAUAACUAUGUUUCUUUUUAAAUAUCAAAAGUUAAAUAAUGAAUUAAUUUUUAUUUAAACUAUUUGAAGUAUCAUAUCAAAUAUGAUAUAGAAUCUAUAAUAUUUUUUUUAUAUAAAUGUAUAUAGAUUAAAAUAUUUUUAUCAUUUAUAA